rnacentral:rRNA from 1 species
GUGGGGAAUAUUGGACAAUGGGGGGAACCCUGAUCCAGCCAUGCCGCGUGUGUGAAGAAGGCCUUUUGGUUGUAAAGCACUUUAAGCGAGGAGGAGGCUACCGAGAUUAAUACUCUUGGAUAGUGGACGUUACUCGCAGAAUAAGCACCGGCUAACUCUGUGCCAGCAGCCGCGGUAAUACAGAGGGUGCAAGCGUUAAUCGGAUUUACUGGGCGUAAAGCGCGCGCAGGUGGCCAAUUAAGUCAAAUGUGAAAUCCCCGAGCUUAACUUGGGAAUUGCAUUCGAUACUGGUUGGCUAGAGUAUGGGAGAGGAUGGUAGAAUUCCAGGUGUAGCGGUGAAAUGCGUAGAGAUCUGGAGGAAUACCGAUGGCGAAGGCAGCCAUCUGGCCUAAUACUGACACUGAGGUGCGAAAGCAUGGGGAGCAAACAGGAUUAGAAACCCUAGUAGUCC